UUCCGUCUGUGAUGUUCUGUUAUUACCUACAUUGUUUGAGUCUCAUGAAAACUCCACUGGCUGAGACAUCU